GCCAGUAUGGUGUAGUGGUUUUAGCACUAGACUAUAACUCUGAAGAUCAGGGUUGGAAUCCUUGCUUGGCU